rnacentral:tRNA from 2 species
GCCGGGGUGGCGAAACUGGCAGACGCACAGGACUUAAAAUCCUGAGACGCGCAAGCGUCGUGUGGGUUCGAUUCCCACCCCCGGCACCA